UACAGAGGGUGCAACCGUUGCUCGGAAUUAUUGGGCGUAAAGCGCGUGUAGGCGGCUUGUUAAGUCGGUUGUGAAAACCCAUGGCUCAACCAUGGAAGGGCGUCCGAAACUGGCAAGCUAGAGUCCCGACGAGGAUGGCGGAAUUCCCAGUGUAGAGGUGAAAUUCGUAGAUAUUCGGAAGAACACCAGUGGCGAAGGCGACUUACUGGACACAUAUUGACGCUGAGGUGCGAAAGCGUGGGGAGCAAACAGG
rnacentral:rRNA from 1 species